UCCGUAGGCGGGCAAUUAAGUCAGUGGUGAAAGCCCGGAGCUCAACUCCGGAACUGCCAUUGAUACUAUUAAUCUUGAAUACAGUUGAGGUGGGCGGAAUGUGUAGUGUAGCGGUGAAAUGCUUAGAUAUUACACAGAACACCGAUUGCGAAGGCAGCUCGCUAAACUGUUAUUGACGCUGAGGCACGAAAGCGUGGGGAGCGAACAGGAUUAGAUACCCUGGUAGUCC
rnacentral:rRNA from 1 species